rnacentral:rRNA from 1 species
UACGAAGGGGGCUAGCGUUGUUCGGAAUUACUGGGCGUAAAGCGUGCGCAGGCGGCUUCUCAAGUCAGGGGUGAAAGCCCAGAGCUCAACUCUGGAAUUGCCUUUGAGACUGAGUGGCUUGAGUACGAGAGAGGUGAGUGGAAUUCCCAGUGUAGAGGUGAAAUUCGUAGAUAUUGGGAAGAACACCGGUGGCGAAGGCGGCUCACUGGCUCGGUAACUGACGCUCAUGCACGACAGCGUGGGGAUCAAACAGG